ensembl:snoRNA LOC120097605 small nucleolar RNA SNORA17
ACUGCGUCUAGAGGCACUGCAGGUGUGGAUGCUGUAUCAUAUGUGAUUCAGUAGGUGGCAUAGAGAAGAGAGGAUAUGUCUAUGCUUAGUGCUCUGAACUGUAAACAUCUGAAUGAUUAGUAGUCUAACAUU